GAUGAACGCUGGCGGCGUGCCUAAUACAUGCAAGUCGAGCGAACGGACGAGAAGCUUGCUUCUCUGAUGUUAGCGGCGGACGGGUGAGUAACACGUGGAUAACCUACCUAUAAGACUGGGAUAACUUCGGGACACCGUAGAUAAUACCGGAUAAUAUUUUGAACCGCAUGGUUCAAAAGUGAAAGACGGUCUUGCUGUCACUUAUCGAUGGAUCCGCGCUGCAUUAGCUAGUUGGUAAGUUAAAGGCUUACCAAGGCAACGAUGCAUAGCCGACCUGAGAGGGGGAUCGGCCACACUGGAACGGAGACACGGUCCAGACGCCUACGGGAGGCAGCAGUAGGGAACCGUCCGCAAUGGUCGAAAGCCUGACGCAGCAACGCCGCGUGAGUGAUGAAGGUCUUCCGUGCGUAAAACUCUGUUAUUAGGUAAGAACAUAUUUGGAAUGAACUGUGCACAGCUUGACGGUACCUAAUCAGAAAGCCACGGCUAACUACGUG
rnacentral:rRNA from 1 species